AUUGAACGCUGGCGGCAGGCCUAACACAUGCAAGUCGAACGGUAACAGGAAACAGCUUGCUGUUUCGCUGACGAGUGGCGGACGGGUGAGUAAUGUCUGGGAAACUGCCUGAUGGAGGGGGAUAACUACUGGAAACGGUAGCUAAUACCGCAUAACGUCGCAAGACCAAAGAGGGGGACCUUCGGGCCUCUUGCCAUCGGAUGUGCCCAGAUGGGAUUAGCUAGUAGGUGGGGUAACGGCUCACCUAGGCGACGAUCCCUAGCUGGUCUGAGAGGAUGACCAGCCACACAGGAACUGAGACACGGUCCAGACUCCUACGGGAGGCAGCAGUGGGGAAUAUUGCACAAUGGGCGCAAGCCUGAUGCAGCCAUGCCGCGUGUAUGAAGAAGGCCUUCGGGUUGUAAAGUACUUUCAGCGGGGAGGAAGGGAGUAAAGUUAAUACCUUGACUCAUUGACGUUACCCGCAGAAGAAGCACCGGCUAACUCCGUG
rnacentral:rRNA from 1 species